rnacentral:rRNA from 1 species
UGGGGAAUUUUGGACAAUGGGCGCAAGCCUGAUCCAGCAAUGCCGCGUGCAGGAAGAAGGCCUUCGGGUUGUAAACUGCUUUUGUCAGGGAAGAAAUCUUCUGGGCUAAUACCCCGGGAGGAUGACGGUACCUGAAGAAUAAGCACCGGCUAACUACGUGCCAGCAGCCGCGGUAAUACGUAGGGUGCGAGCGUUAAUCGGAAUUACUGGGCGUAAAGCGUGCGCAGGCGGUUAUGUAAGACAGAUGUGAAAUCCCCGGGCUCAACCUGGGAACUGCAUUUGUGACUGCAUGACUGGAGUGCGGCAGAGGGGGAUGGAAUUCCGCGUGUAGCAGUGAAAUGCGUAGAUAUGCGGAGGAACACCGAUGGCGAAGGCAAUCCCCUGGGCCUGCACUGACGCUCAUGCACGAAAGCGUGGGGAGCAAAACAGGAUUAGAUACCCUGGUAGUCCACGCCCUAAANGAUGUCAACUGGUUGUUGGACGGCUUGCUGUUCAGUAACGAAGCUAACGCGUGAAGUUGACCGCCUGGGGAGUACGGCCGCAAGGUUGAAACUUAAAUGAAUUGACGGGGUCAUAGCUGUUUCC